rnacentral:tRNA from 1 species
GUUUAAAUAGUUUAAUAAAAAUAUUAGUUUGUGGUACUAAAGAUAUGAAAUUUUAUUUUAAACU